GGGUGGGUGUCGGGUGACAGAGGAGAGAUUUGACUGACGGGUGUAGGUCCAGGAAGGCUGAGGGACUGAUUUAUAGUAACACAAGGUGAGAUAUUUUAGGCGUCUGCCACUGACAGGGCUUAACUUGAGCUUCACAUGUUUCUUCUCUCUGAAGUGGCGGGCCUAUUUCUAGGGAGCGACUCUCUUGCACCAUGAGUCUGCCUGUCACUUUCAAGGGGCGCCAGCGGACCACAAGGCCCAGCAGUGACCAGAACUCAUUUCUGGCAAAUAAUUGAAAGGCUCUGAGUGUGCGGCGUCAGCUGUGCCGGGCAACCCGGACCUCAUUCGUGGCCGAGGCCGGCCUCUCCAGGGAGCUGCUUUACUAACCUGGAGCGCACGACUCCCCAGCUCUGGAGGCCUAGCGCUCGCUCCUCUUCCAGGGAUGGACAGCCCCGCUCAGAGUUUUGGGAAACUCCCAUCCUGACCCUGUUCUAUGAAGAGCAGCCUCAGAAGAGAGGCUGAACAGCAGUGGUUAUCAGGAAGGCCACAUUUAUGGAGGGAGGCAUUUAAAUAUGCCAAGUAUCCAACCUCAAAACAAGGAAGGUAGGAUUUCACAGGUAAGAAAACAGGUCAUGUGACCAGACACGGAGCUGAGCCAUGACAACAGCCCUGCAAUCUGGGGUCUAGCAGUUUCUCCUGUUCUGGAGCAUAAGGACAGACAGAAACAGAAAGAGAGACAGAGACAGAGACAGACAGACAGACAGAGACAGAGACAGACAGAGACUGGAGAACCUGGGGGGAGCACUGCCCACGCACAGGUGUGCCCAGCCUAGCUCCUCUGCCAUUCUGGGCCUGGAUCAGCCCCCCUUCAGCUGUAGGGACCCAGCUUCCAGGGACCCUGCAGGCCGAGCUCUGAGCAGCUGUUCUUGUCAAGUAGCUCCUCCUGAUGCCUCAUGUGAGCCUUUAUCCCCAGAGGCCCAGGAGCGGGGUGCUGGCCCCUCCAACGUCACCCCCCACCACUUCCGAGGUCAAGGCCGCUGAAGGCGUUGGUGCUGACAGC
rnacentral:lncRNA from 1 species